UUCCCUUUGUCAUCCUAUGCCUGAGAAUACUGGAGAGGCAGGGACAGCAAAGGGAUGC
rnacentral:pre_miRNA from 1 species